UGGCGCCCAACAUGGGGCACCUGGCACGGAGGAUCCAACGAGGGAGCUGUCCGGAGACAUGCACAUAAAAAGGGAAUUAAGAGUUUUGUGACCAACGCUACGCAGGAGCCUGCUGCGCCACUCGAGUCACAGUAAGUGGUUGGCAAUCCUUUCCCCUUUUUUUCUGGCAUGGGUCAAGCAUUAAGUGACCAUAAACUUUUCGUGGGAGGCUUAAGUAAGGUGUUUAAGACAAGAGGGAUUAAGGCUAAAGAAAAAGAUUUAUUACAAUAUUUUCAAUUUAUUCAUAAGGUUUGCCCUU
rfam:Cavia porcellus supercont2_18 genomic scaffold, whole genome shotgun sequence.